rnacentral:rRNA from 1 species
UGGGGAAUAUUGCACAAUGGGCGCAAGCCUGAUGCAGCCAUGCCGCGUGUGUGAAGAAGGCCUUCGGGUUGUAAAGCACUUUCAGCGAGGAGGAAGGGUAGUGUGUUAAUAGCACAUUGCAUUGACGUUACUCGCAGAAGAAGCACCGGCUAACUCCGUGCCAGCAGCCGCGGUAAUACGGAGGGUGCAAGUGUUAAUCGGAAUUACUGGGCGUAAAGCGCACGCAGGCGGUUUGUUAAGUCAGAUGUGAAAUCCCCGCGCUUAACGUGGGAACUGCAUUUGAAACUGGCAAGCUAGAGUCUUGUAGAGGGGGGUAGAAUUCCAGGUGUAGCGGUGAAAUGCGUAGAGAUCUGGAGGAAUACCGGUGGCGAAGGCGGCCCCCUGGACAAAGACUGACGCUCAGGUGCGAAAGCGUGGGGAGCAAACA